rnacentral:rRNA from 1 species
AUACGUAGGUGGCGAGCGUUGUCCGGAAUUAUUGGGCGUAAAGCGCGCGCAGGCGGGAAAGUAAGUCUACUCUAAAAGUGCGGGGCUCAACCCCGUGAUGGGGUGGAAACUGCUUUUCUUGAGUGCCGGAGAGGAAAGCGGAAUUCCCAGUGUAGCGGUGAAAUGCGUAGAUAUUGCACAGAACUCCGAUUGCGAAGGCAGCUUGCUAAACUGACACUGACACUGAGGUACGAAAGCGUGGGGAGC